rnacentral:rRNA from 1 species
GAGAGCUUGCUCUCUGGGUGGCGAGUGGCGGACGGGUGAGGAAUACAUCGGAAUCUACUCUGUCGUGGGGGAUAACGUAGGGAAACUUACGCUAAUACCGCAUACGACCUACGGGUGAAAGCAGGGGACCUUCGGGCCUUGCGCGAUUGAAUGAGCCGAUGUCGGAUUAGCUAGUUGGCGGGGUAAAGGCCCACCAAGGCGACGAUCCGUAGCUGGUCUGAGAGGAUGAUCAGCCACACUGGAACUGAGACACGGUCCAGACUCCUACGGGAGGCAGCAGUGGGGAAUAUUGGACAAUGGGCGCAAGCCUGAUCCAGCCAUACCGCGUGGGUGAAGAAGGCCUUCGGGUUGUAAAGCCCUUUUGUUGGGAAAGAAAUCCAGCUGGCUAAUACCCGGUUGGGAUGACGGUACCCAAAGAAUAAGCACCGGCUAACUUCGUGCCAGCAGCCGCGGUAAUACGAAGGGUGCAAGCGUUACUCGGAAUUACUGGGCGUAAAGCGUGCGUAGGUGGUCGUUUAAGUCCGUUGUGAAAGCCCUGGGCUCAACCUGGGAACUGCAGUGGAUACUGGGCGACUAGAAUGUGGUAGAGGGUAGCGGAAUUCCUGG